CUUGAGUAACUAUAAGAGGUCCAGCCUGCCCAGUGACUUUGUUCAACGGCCGCGGUAUCCUAACCGUGCGAAGGUAGCGUAAUCACUUGUCUUUUAAAUGGGGACUUGUAUGAACGGCAUCACGAGGGUUAUACUGUCUCCUUUUUCUAAUCAGUGAAACUAAUCUUCCCGUGAAGAAGCGGGAAUAAACAUAUAAGACGAGAAGACCCUAUGGAGCUUUAAACUCAAUAACAAAUACUGACCUUACAUCAACUUUCAGAAGAUUCACCUUAAUUUUAGUAUUAUGAUUAUUAGUUUUAGGUUGGGGUGACCGCGGAGUAAAAAUUAACCUCCACAUUGAACGGGACCUAUCCCUGAGCCAAGAACUACAGCUCAAAGCACCAACAAAUUGACAUUAAUUGACCCAAUAUUUUGAUCAACGAAC
rnacentral:rRNA from 2 species